GAUCCUGGCUCAGGAUGAACGCUAGCUACAGGCUUAACACAUGCAAGUCGAGGGGGCGAGCAUGGUCUUAGCUUGCUAAGGCCGAUGGCGACCGGCGCACGGGUGAGUAACACGUAUCCAACCUGCCGUCUACUCUUGGACAGCCUUCUGAAAGGAAGAUUAAUACAAGAUGGCAUCAUGAGUUCACAUGUUCACAUGAUUAAAGGUAUUCCGGUAGACGAUGGGG
rnacentral:rRNA from 1 species